rnacentral:rRNA from 1 species
CCUACGGGAGGCAGCAGCGAGGAAUAUUGGUCAAUGGGAGGAAUCCUGAACCAGCCAUGCCGCGUGGGGGAAGAAGGCCCUAUGGGUUGUAAACCCCUUUUACGCCGGAGUAAUAAGGUCCAUGCGUGGACCGAUGAGAGUACGGCGGGAAUAAGCAUCGGCUAACUCCGUGCCAGCAGCCGCGGUAAU